GUGCUCACUUUGGCAGCAAAUACACUAAAAUUGGAAGGAUACAGAGAAGAUUAGCAUGGCUCCUGCACAAGGAUGACAUACAAAUUUGUGAAGUGUUCCAUAUUUUU
ensembl:snRNA U6 U6 spliceosomal RNA